GCCUUCGUGGUGUAGUGGUCAGCACGCUGGACGAGUAUUCGAGAGAUCUGCGCUUCGAAUCCCGGCGAGGGCA
rnacentral:tRNA from 1 species